GGGGCCUGAGGCCGAAAGGCGGGGCCUUCCAGGCGAGUGAGGUGCGGAAGGAAGGUAGCAUAAGCUUCAGACCAAAGCUGAAAAGAGUAUUACAAGAAUGGAAUCACAGGCCAAUUUCUCUUCUGAACAUGCAUGGAAAAAUUAUAAACAAAAGCACAACCUGUAUCCAUGGAAACAUAGAGGACAGAGGAACAUAUUUAAUUACACCAUGGACAUGUACUCAGCAAAAUCCAUAUUGUGAGGAACUCUACAAGUCCAGUGGCCUGUAUUCUUCAACAGAUUUAUUGAAGAUGAGGAAAUGGAAAUCUCAAGUAAUCAGACCAUUUUUGCCAGCCUUCCCUCCUGAGCGCUUUCACCUUGCACCAAUCCCAUGCUGAACAAUGCUCUUCCUAGGGAACACCAUGGCCAUAUUACACAGGUAUACACAGAAUAUGACUCAGUCAAACGCCAGGAGAGAUUAAGAAUCUGGAAUUACCCUCCGACUGUAAUCAACUAGAAAAGUGGACAAAAUAUAGGAAACACCUAUUUUUAGAUAUUAGAUAUAAGCUAACAGUGGACUUUAUCCUUGAGAAAAGAAGAAUAAAAGAGAUUUCCUCUGAAUCUUUCCUGUAAAGUAAAGCUAGUGAUGUCUCAUAAGGAUGUGCACCUUGGCUGGGAGUGAUCUCUGUUAAAUACUGAGACUGGUUUCCAUAUGUGACCUGUAAAUUGACCUCGACCCAUCAGAUCUAUAUCCAAAUUAUAUCCAGAAGCCAGUCACUUCUGACCACCUCCUAUGCUACUGCCUGUUCAAAUUGAAGCCAUUGUCAUCUUUCUCCAGGAUUAUUUUGGUACAGGGAAAGAAAAAAACCAAGGACUGAUCCCAGGGGUACUCCAAAAUUAGUAGGUCUUGGAGAAGAGGGGGGACUAACACAAAGACUAAGAAGAAAUAACCAGUGAGCCAGGAGGCAAAUGAAAAAGAAUAUGGUGUUCUGGAAGCCAAGCGAAAAAAAUACAUGGAAGAGGGAGUGAUCAGCCAUGCCACUGGAUUUACAGCCAAUGAAGUGAGCCAACCUUGGGAGUUCUUCUAGACAGGGAGGUCCUAACAGGACCAGGAUGAUUCUACAGAAAGCAGGCCUGGGAAAAUUCUGCAGCUCCGUGAAAGCAUCAUUCACAUGUAGACAAAUGGCCUCAGCUGUCCAUGUCCUUGAUCCCAGAGCAGUGCUAAAUCAAUAAAUAAACCAACAAGCGAAUGAAUGAAUGCCUCUGGCUGAGAGGAGAAGAAGGGAGAGAAGACAAGGAUUCCAGCUGGGAUGUAGAACUAUGUGGCUUUAAAUUGACUCAACUUGGAGAGGUAUCCUGAGAGGAAUAAAAAACUUGCAGCCAUGGUUCUGGUGGCUCUCAGUGACAGUCCGUGGAUUACUGGUGAUGGCAUUUCUGCAACAUUAGUUGGCGUCGGGCUCCAUUACUUGAAAGCCUUUAAAAGUGUUCUUCUUUUUGGCUUGAAAACUUUUUGCCUUAGCUCCUAAUCUUUCUUGUUCAGUUACCAUUGUAGAAACAUUCCAGGCCCCUCUUUCUCUGCAUCAGAUUUUAUCUGUUAACAACGUGUCAGAGCAUGCACUUAUUUAGAAUGUCAUCUUUCCCUUGCAAGUUUUCUGUAAAUAUUUUAGUGUCAGGGUUGGUCCACAGUUACUCCUGUCCAAAUCUGAAUGAUUAGUUGGAUAGUAUACGCCCUGAAAACCUAACCCUGAAUGUUGAGUCUUUUUUAAAAAAUAAUUGUCUAGUUGAUUCACAGUCCACUCACACACACUCAAAAAUGGGCGCAUAAACUGCAUGCAGUUCUUUUUCUAAAGGCUUGGAGAGAGUAUCAGGUUAGAGUCUGCUCCCUGGAGCUGCCUUACUUUGUGAAGUAGAUGCACGUAAAGUUGACAAUCAAGACUGUUAGAGCCCAAAGUGGCCAAUGGAGAAUGGAAGGCCCAGAACUGUCACUGAUGUGUCAAGGUCACACUCUGGUUCCAGGCAGAACUAAAAUUCAAUGUGGUGCCUCCUAUCAACUAGGUUAGUGCUCUUCUUUUUCUGCCCCCUUUGUUUCCUAUAUGAAUUUGACCUUGAAAAUAAGGUAUGUGUAAAGGUUGAUUUAAAUCAACCCUCAUCUGUAAAAUAGACAGGGGUGAGUCAAAGGUUACUAUGGCUCAGCUCCUAAAUUUAUCAUUUAAUGGUCCAUAUUUCAGCAAAUACUUAUCCCUUGAUUUAUCUUCCUUUUUAAAAACAAAUUUUUAUUUUAGAAUAGUUUUAGAUUUACAGAAUUAUUACAAUGCACAGAGAGUUCGCAUAUACCCCACACCAAAUUUCUCUUAUUAGUAAUAUCAUACAGGAGUAUAAUAUAUUUGUCACAAUUAAUAAACAAAUAUUUAAACAUUAUUAAUUUUCUCUUUAGCAUUAUAGUUUGGAUUUACAUUAAGAGAGGUACUCCCAUAAUAUUUUUAAGGAAUACAUAAAUUUCUCUGGAGUAUUAAAUGAAAAUUAUAAGCAAGUCAUUAUUUUUUAAAGUUAUUCAUAUAUUUUUAAAGAUUUUUUAUUUUUUUAUUAUGUUAAUCACCAUACAUUACAUCAUUAGUUUUUGAAGUAGUGUUCCGUGAUUCAUUGUUUGCAUAUAACACCCAGUGCUCCAUGCAGAACGUGCCCUCCUUAAUACCCAUCACCAGGCUAACCCAUCCUCCCCCCCCUCCCCUCUAGAACCCUCAGUUUGUUUCUCAGAGUCCAUAGUCUCUCAUGAUUCGUCUCCCAGAUUUUAUUUAUUCAUUCAAGAGAGAGAGAAAAGGGGGGGGUGGAGGAGCAGAGGGAGAGGGACAAACAGACUCCAUGCUGAGCAUGGAGCCCCAUGCGGAGCUUGAUCCCAGGGCCCCGAGACCAUGACCUGAGCUGAAACCAAGAGUCAGAUGCUCAACCGAGCCACCCAGACUCCCCUUAUUCAUCAUAUUUUUUAUCUCGUAUCCUCUUUUCCAGUGGACAACACUCUCAUCUAUUUAACAAGUACUUAAAUUGUGUUUAUUGUGUGCCAGACAUUGUUCUAGGUUCUUUAUAAUUAAUCCUCAUGAGCCUUAUAACAUCCCUGCAUACUAAUAUUGUCUUUCAGAGAGGUUAAGUAACUUGCUCAAGGUCACACGGCACAGUAUAGCUCCAGAGUCGUGUUCUUAUUCAUGCACUACUGUGCCUCAGUCCUAGAGGGCAGAGCCCCUGCCUUGUUCAUUUCUGUAACCCCUCCCCUCAUCUGAAAGCGAUAUAGUGAGUGUAUUGGCUUCCACUACGUAACAGAGUAUCACAGACUAGGUAGCUUAAACAGCUGAAAUGUGUUUUCUCUGUGUUCUGGAGGCUGGACAUCCCAGAUGGAGUUGCCAGCAGGGUUGGCUUCUGAGACCUUUCCUCCUGGCUUGCAGAUGGCCUUGUCUCCGUACAAAUACCCUCCUGGUGUCUCUUUCUCUUCUUAGAAGGACACCAGUCCUAUUGGAUUACCGCCCUGCCCUCAUGACCUCAUUGAACCUUAAUUACCUCCUCAAAUGCCCAUCUCCAAAUGCCAGCACACUGGAGGUUAGGGCUUCAACACGGGGAUUUACAGGGGGGCCAAUUCAGUCCAUAGCACUGGAUAAUCAUCACAAAUGUCUACUAGGUUAAAUUUACAUUUAAAAAUUAUGCAAUCAGUAUCCUCUCAAACACAUAGGGGUCUUUUUGCUCUUGUUCUGUUUGGUUUCUAUCACCCCGGAUGCUAUGUUUACAGUGAUGUUACAGCUUGGUCCCAGGUCUUUCUGUUCUGUAGCACCAUCUUGGUAGUUUAUUUUCUUUUCUUUCCAAGUUAUUUCCAGGCAAUAAGAUAUUCUGCAUUGAAGACAUUGUUACAACUGAGCACAUUUGUUAUUUUUUCUCAUAAGCUUUUAUAAACACAUCAUGGUGAGAUCAAAGCAGUUAAUUUAUCAUUGCAAAAAAAAAACAUUAUGCUAUCAUUUUAAGCAACUUGCUUUUGUAUUUUAGAUCCCAGCUGGUGAUUUAUUUACUUACUCUCUUUUCUUUGUGUGGCGUAUUUAAAAUUCAAAAGUAAUUAAUUGCAGGCAAUUCAAGCAGUACAAAAAUAUGUAAUGUGUGUCAUCUUUCUUCAUCACCACUGCUCCACCCCUAGCAAGUUCUCUCUCCUGAAUUAACCACUAUUUCCAAUUAGGUGUGUAUUCUUCCAGAUUAGUUCUAUGCAUGGAUAGAUAGAUAAAUGACAGAUAGAAAGAUGCAUAGAUAGGGGCGGCUGGGUGGCUCAGUCGGUUAAGCGUCUGACUUCUGCUCAUGUCAUGAUCUCAGAGUCCUGGGAUCAAGCCCCGCAUGGAGUCCUGCAUUGGGCUGCCCGCUCAGCGGGGAGUCUGCUUAUCCCUCUGCCCCUCCCCCUACUCGUGUUCUCUCUCUCAAAUAAAUAAAAUCUUUAAAAAAAAAAAAAAGGAAGAUGGAUAGACAGAUCCAUCCAUCCAUUCAUACACACAGCUUUCUUUCUCAUCUUUAUUUUUUAUGGUCUUAUAUACUAAUUGUUCUACAACUUCCUUUUAUUCAUCAACAAUCAUCAAAAUGAUGAUCGCUUAUGAUCACAGAAGGAUCUUGGGAGGACACAGUGCAGGUUAUCUGAAACAGCCCUAAGCAAAUGCCUGUGGACUCUACUCACCUAUACAUUUCUUUUUCAAACUCUGAGAACAUGUCAACAGGACCUGCAAGGGAGAAAAAACUCUUAGAAAUUAAGGUUCCUGUAAACUUAGAAUAAAAUCAAAUACUUGCUUUAUCCUGUUCCCCAACACCUUUUCCAAAUUUUCCACGUAUUUAAUUAUUUGUGGUUUACGUAUAUGUGUAUUUAGGCUUUGCUUAUUCACAAGUGAUUUUUGAUUUAUACAAAUAUUACACAGCUUGUUCUUGUCUAUCACUGAGAGCAGGAUAAUUUCAGAUUCCAGAACACCUCCACCUUCUGCAUUGUAUAUUGCUAUGGGAGGAGCUGCAAUACCAAGCAAUAAGAACCAAAAAGCUUUUGAUUAUCACAGUGAUGUCUCCCCUAAUUUUAUUGCUACAGAGCUGUCAAAGAAACUACUUAGAAAAUAGAAAAUGAACUUAGCAUAGAUAGAAAGCUUAAAGCCAUCAACAGAUCCUAACAUCUUUUCUCUGCUUAACAGCAAAACAAUGACUCAUUAGUGGGAAUAUCCAACUGGUUCCCUCCGUCUUUCCACUACCUGCCCAUUCACCAAAGAGUCCCCCUGUCUUUAUUUUAUUUUAUUUUUUAAAUUUUAUUUAUUUAUUUUAGAGAGAGUGAGAGCAAGCAGGGGGAGGGGCAAAGGGAGAAGGAGAGAGAGAAUCUCAAGUAGACUCCCUGCUGAGUGGGGAGCCCGAUGUAGGGCUCGAUCUCAUGAUCCUGGGAUCAUGACCUGAGCCAAAACCAAGAGUCUGAUGCUUGCCUGACUGAGCCACCCAGGUACCCCAAAUCCCCUCUGUCUUGUGGAAUUACGGAUGUACAACAAGCUCACAGAAGAGGAACUAAUGAAUAGAAAUGAGUGGCAGCCACUGAAAACAGAAGAUUACAGUCAGCAUUGGGGUAGUUGUUUAUGGAUCACCAAUUUACAAAUUACUAAAUUAUGUGCAUCUCCUCCAAGGUGAUGAUAUCAAAGGACCAACACAUUUUUGAAGAUUCCUCUCGCUCUGCAAGAGAGCUCCUGAUCAUUGCCCACUUCCGUGUUGUUUCUUCUUUACUUCUACUGCUGCUCCUUCUUUUUGUGUAUGUGAUGUUCACAGAAUUCAACAUUCUGCUGAAGCCCACCCCAUCUCAUGGAGGCAUCCUCCUUUUCUAAUCUCAUAGCCUGAGUUAUCUAUACCAAGCACUUGCCAACUAUUUAGGCAUGUCUUGGAUAUAUCUUGUUGUCUUGUAAUGCGAUUUCGUUUUCCCCAAUUUUUACUUUUACAAGUUUUUUAACUCCCUAACUAUGACAUAAACAUUCUUAAGGCUUUGUACUGUGUGUAUUUUAGAAACUUCUGACAGUUCCCAACAGGCUUCUUCCAGGACCAGCUCAAAAAAGGACCUUUUCUAUGAAGAUUUGCCCAAGCAAUACAGUGAGACUUACCAUUUACCAUUUCUUCGGUGUGAACUUGGGAGAGUCCCUCUGAAGUGAGAAAUGAGAAAAAGCAUAGUGUUUUCCUUAUAUGCUUAAAGAAGAAGUGCACAUUCAAGAUUGGCCAAGUAGGAUGAUUCUUGGACACAACUUAAGGCUAAUACCUAGCAAAAGCAUGUUGCAAAUGACAAAUUCUGGCUUAAUGGGUCACCAAUGGAGGUAACACACAGACCAGCAGAGUUAGAAUUGGAGGAUAAAGAUAGAAUUAAUGUAUUCCACUGGCACACACACACACAGGGGGUGUCCACUAAAAGGAGAACCUGCUGUUUAUCUCAGGGCAUGUUUCCAUGAACAGCAUGACAUUUACAGCUAGAACCAUAGUUUGAUUCAGGCAUGUCUCAGCUAAUGCAGUAUAAUUUUCUCCAGUUUUGAUCCCUCUUCCUAUUUCUUUCUGGUACAUAAAAUAUAAAAUCUCAGAAAUACACAUAUGCUUGUACACAUACACAAGCACACACAUACCCCUUGUGUCAUUUAAUCAAAUCGAGAUGGAGUUGCCCUGAUAUUAACACCUUUCUCUUCUUAAAACAUGUUUAUUCAACUAUUAGCUUCGUAUUUUGGUAAGUAAUUUUCCUCCAUUGUUUGACAGUUUACCUUAUUUGGGUAUAUAAUUUCAAUAUUUUUCUUUCAUCAUCGCAAACAAGAUCAAUUUUACAGCUUAAAAUUUUUUUUAAUCACAAUUUUUAAUUGAAAUAUAUUUGACGUAAAACGUAUAGAUUUAAGGGGGACAACAUAUUGGUACAUUUAUACAUUGUAAUGUGAUUGUCACUGUAGUAAUAGCCCCUCUGUCACAUCACAUAAUUAUCAUUUCUUUUUUUGUGUGUUGGGAAUAAUUAAGCUCUGGACUCUUCACAAGUCUGAUGAUUAUGAUACUUUGUAACUUUAUAGCUCUUUAGGAUGUAGCUUGUAUGUAGAGUAAUUCUGUGUAUAUGUAAGUACUCUAAAACACACAUCCUACGUAAUCUCUCCUUCAAAUCAAGUUUAUUAAACCUUGUUUAAAAAAAAUCUCAAAAAAGCAAUUAUCUCUUCUAUGCUACUAUACACUGUUUAUAUCUUUGUUGAAUUAUAGUUUAUAGGAUUCAGUAAAUCCUCAUAUUCAAGAAUUUUAACUUUUAUGACUCUAAAGAUUUGCAAGUAACCCUGAAGACCUGUGACCUGUAAAUAUUUGUCAUUUUUAUCAGACACACAUACAAUUUUGAUUUUUGAGAGCUAUGAAGCUGGCAUCCAGGAUCAAGUCAUUUUGCUAGUAAGUGAGAUUGGCCAGUGCUCAGCGCUUAGGUUUCACCGUGACUUCAUGGUUCUCCACCUACAAAGAUUGCCCUGUGUGAUGAGUCCUGGGAUAGUAAUACUUA